UUCAUACAAACAUCGCAAACCACUUGCUCCUUCUUGUUGCUAGAGUAUCAUCAGUUACUUUUGAAAUGGCCAACUUUAAAGUCAUGCUCUCUUGUCUUUUACUGUUCGGAUUGAUUACAUCUGGAGUUUCUGUUGACUGGAAUGAUCCCCGAACAGGCAUAUGCUUCUGGGCUAGAGAUGCAAGGAUUUCGUUGAAAGAUGAUCCGAGACUUUACAAAUAUUGUGCCAUGGUCAUUGCUUCCCAGAAUGAAGAUAGAAAAAAAUAUUGAAAGUUGUCUGAGAAAGUCAAAAUAAAAUUAUCAGAGUAGUCUUCACGUUUCCGUUAUUUUAAUAAAUGGAAUGUGUUUGUCAAAAAGGCCAUGCAACAAAGACUCUAAAUCAUACACAUAAUAUGGCUGACAAACGAAACAGCAGCAACUGUUAUUUAUGAAUAAACGAUUAAUAAUCAAUAUUAUUUUGAAAUUCUAUCAAAGACUAUCAUCAAACAACUUUGCAUAAGAUUAAAUAUAUUAAAAGAUGAA